GUUUUUUCUGCUCUGGCGCAUCCUCUGAAGGCUGAGAUGAAAGACAUGAUUCACUAGACUAAGACAUAUCCUGAAUCAAGAUGCCAGCCCCCUCCUGCACCCCACGCUCCAGAGGCUGGUCUGCUGAAUGAUGGCUGUAUCUGCCCCGAGGACACUGUGAGCCCCACUCCCAGGGUGAGAGGAGAAUGAUGGCAAAAGAAUUUGGUAUAUCCUUGCUCCCACCUUCCUGUUCUUGAAAGCACAGGACAUCUGUGGGAGGAUUAUCUCUGGAGGCCUUGAUGGAGAGUACCAACCAGUCUUCAUGUGAAGACACUCUGCGUUCCUCAGCACUUACCCGUGAUCUGCAUCCUUGACUAAUCAUCUCCUUGCGGAGAUGCCAGUGGAAGUGAUUGAGACAAAGGGGCGUAGCAUCAUCUUGAUGCUGAAGAGCUUUCAGAGGAGGUAAGGACAGGAUAUAUUACGGAGCUAAAUUCUCACGGGCAAAUAAUAAGUCCUAGCACCUGCUGGCUGGAACCCACAGGCUGUGACCUGUCUCCUCCAAUGUUUGUAUUUUCCUCUGCGGGAAAGAGCAACAUGGUAAAGAAUUCCUAUUAUUUCAAAUAUUUCACCAUGGUGUUAUCUAGCCUAGUCUAAACAAUGGUCCCGAUUGCUCUUGAGAGUUGUACUCUGCAGGAGAAAACGGUAACAAAUGUUGUUAUUCCCAACGUGAUCCCCCCCACUACGGGGACACAGAUAUUUGUGACAUGGAAUGGCAGUGUGCUCCUGGAAGCAUCAAUCCAGAUAUGUUAGCUGAAAAAGAGGAAAAAAUUGCCUCCCUUGCCAAAUUCCAAACUGAUCCACCCAGAAGAAGAUCCAUGCUGUGAUGCUUCUGUCCUGGACGUGCCAUUUGUUGAUGCAGGAAGUGGAUCACAUCCCAGGCUCUGGGAAUGUGCAGGAUGUGUCACUUGCCCCAUUGCCUUACAAACGAUAAAUCUCUAAAACCUCACUAAAAGCUGUAAUACUGCAAAAGCUGCAGCCAUGGCAAUUAUUUGCCUUCAUGUUCACUGACCCACUGAAGGAACCAGGCUGUGAACACCCUGACUCUAGUGGGAAAUGCCUGGACAGCCAGACCUGACCCAAAUGUCCAAACACAGCCAAACUUCAGCCUGAAUACACAUAACACAGUUAAUCCCGACUUAAUUUAUGGCAGCCUGAACCUGAAUGUGAACUCACCCACUGUGUUACCAGAGAUCCGAACCUGGAUUUGGCUCCCAAAUAGCUUGGGUCUAGGUCUUGAAAUUACCCAGUUGUUGGCUGCAGUCUGCUUUGGAGCUGGAGAUUUAUUUCUCCAGGAGGCAGGAAAACACAUUGUGUUGCCAAACUACUUCCAGUCUUUUCCAGAAUUACAAGUCAGGGGAUGGUGGGUAAGUCUUGUGAUUUUCAUCCUACAAUCUAAACCAGAUGGACUACUCUCGCAGCAUAAAUAUUUAAGCAAAAAAAAAGCAAAAAAAAAAAAAAAAAGUUCAGUUUCUUAAUUAAUUGCAUUAUUAUGACUUGCACUAUUUAACAGGAUGCGCAUAAAGCUGGUUUACAAGAUAGCUUGAUCACCUUCUUUGAUUCAUCUCAAUAAAAUCUGGAGUUUUUGUUUUCUCAGGGAUAAUGAAGUAACUGUAGAAUAAUAAAGCGGCUCUGCUUAUUGGAAACAGAAAGCUCUCAGCUUUCGGAAGAAAAGAUCCUCUCGGUGAAGCUCGUGCUGUAUUAAUCCAAAAAUACAAAUAAGUGGAGGUGAUCUGGAAAGCCUGUGUUACUGACAUCAGCCCAGCAUUUCUGCCACUGAAGAUCCUCUUCUCCGGCCUCAACUCAAAAAAUCUUUGUGGCAGAUUUGGCAUUGCCUGUAAUAAUUUAUGAACGUGAUGUGUUGACAUGUUUACUGUGUGCAUACAUUGAGCUACUUCAAUCGCUGCCUUGUCAGGAAGUGUACCCAGGAGAGAACAGAUGAAUCCAGGCACGCGGUUUGGAGGAAACACUGGGGAGCUGAAGCAUGCGCCCUUUGCUGUGACAUUUUGGCUGGGCCCCUGCUGGGCUCACAGGAGAGAUUUCCCUGGGAGAACAUGGGUGCCUGUGAAGGAAGGCACAGAAGGCCCUGGGGGAUUCACAGUGAACCAUUUAAAUGGAGGCUUUGGAGAGUGAGAACCUGAAAGGGGCUGAAAGCGCUCCGAUCUGCAGGUACCUAAUUCAGUACAUGUUGGCGAUAAAGGGGAUGUGGAACAUUUGUUUAACCGCCGUGCCUUAUUUCAGUGGUGAAAUGGCUCUUCUGUUUUAUAAACAUGGUUUAGGUUGCACAAGAGAGCUGGAUGCCUCUGUUCCCAGGUCCAUGUGGGAAUCAUGGUGAUUGUGCUGGGUAGGCUGGCUGGAGUUUGGCAAAGCUACAUCAGCCUGCCUGCAGGAAGGUGAGAGCUUGAGGCCUGGCGGCCUUCCCCAGACGGGAAGGCAGAAAGGCCACUGAUAGCUGAGAUCCAGCAGUAACCAUAACAAUACCAUCAUCUUUCUUAAAAGUCCCAGCACGUAAUUCUACUAAUGACUUUUAUUAAACAUUUAAGCCUUAGCCUUCAAGUGAUUCAUAUUUGUUACAAAACACCAUCCCAUUAACACAAAGUACAAGCCGAAACAAAGUUAAUGAGCCCUAAUGCUUGCCAGAUAAUACGAAGUUUGAGUGAUACUAACAAAAAUAAAAUUAGGAAGAAAUCUACUUUCAUUGUCCACCAGAGAAUUUGAGUUUUAUCCUUCUGGUUCAUAAAAACAAGUCCAUUGCUCAAGUGGCUAUUACGCUCUUAUUAAAGUUGUUCCAGAACA
rnacentral:lncRNA from 1 species